GAUUAACGCUGGCGGCGUGCAUGAGACAUGCAAGUCGAACGGGCGAGCGGGCUUGCCUGCUCGUUAGUGGCGGACGGCUGAGUAACGCGUAGGUGACCUGCCCCGAAGUGGGGAAUAACUGCCCGAAAGGGUGGCUAAUACCGCAGGUGGAGCCUGGUUCGUUCCAGUCCCCAAAGCCGCAAUGCGCUUCGGGAGGGGCCGGCGUCCGAUUAGCUCGUUGGUGGGGUAACGGCUCACCAAGGCGACGAUCAGUAGCUGGUCUGAGAGGACGACCAGCCACACUGGGACUGAGACACGGCCCAGACUCCUACGGGAGGCAGCAGUGGGGAAUUUUGGACAAUGGGGGCAACCCUGAUCCAGCAAUGCCGCGUGAGUGAAGAAGGCCUUCGGGUUGUAAAGCUCUUUUGUCCGGGAAGAAAUCCCAUCCCUGAAUACGGGGUGGGGAUGACGGUACUGGAAGAAUAAGCACCGGCUAA
rnacentral:rRNA from 1 species